GUGCCAGCAGCCGCGGUAAUACGUAGGGUGCGAGCGUUGUCCGGAAUUAUUGGGCGUAAAGGGCUCGUAGGCGGUUUGUCGCGUCGGGAGUGAAAAUCCAGGGCUUAACUCUGGACUGGCUUUCGAUACGGGCAGACUAGAGGUAUGCAGGGGAGAACGGAAUUCCUGGUGUAGCGGUGAAAUGCGCAGAUAUCAGGAGGAACACCGGUGGCGAAGGCGGUUCUCUGGGCAUUACCUGACGCUGAGGAGCGAAAGUGUGGGGAGCGAACAGGAUUAGAAACCCUCGUAGUCC
rnacentral:rRNA from 1 species